AUCCUGUAGUGCAAUGGACAGCACGUUGGACUUCUAAUCCAAGAGGCGUGGGAUCGAAUCCCACCUGGGAGG